rnacentral:lncRNA from 1 species
AUGAGAACAAUGGAUUCAGGAAUAAUUUUAAAGAUUGGAUUCUUUAUAGCAUUUUUUUCAGAGCCAUUUACGAUUUCCGGCGCAGUACUCGCUUCAGACAAGGAUGUUAGCGAAGAGGGAACUGCUCAAAAAAUAGCCCAACAGGCGACUCCAAACCUCGACCCAGGAUCAUCACAAUUUUCGAACGAGCGCGGAGAGAGUGCUUCAAGGACCGCUCGGCGGUCUAUUGAAUCACCUGAGCCGGGCCUGACGGAUAUAUGGGAAAAACUAGAAAACAGCCUAACGCGAGAAUCUCAAGAGACUGUCUCGGAGCCUGCGGCAGAUGUAACACACUUCUGGGAAGAACUUACACAAACGUUAGCUCGAAUUGCACAGGACGACACAGACGCAAUAUCCAAAGCAUCUGUCUGGCAAGGCAUAGAGGACAGCUUGACCAGGGUCUCUCGACAAGUUGAUCCACCACACGAUGCGUCACAUUGGGACAGUUUUGUACAAAGUGUCUCAAGAGUAGCCCUUGAAGAUCCUCAGCCCAGUGAUGUGGUUGAGUUUCGGGAUGAAUUGUUAAGGAUGAUACGGCAUUCCACCCCUCAAAAAGUAUCCACUUUGCAACCGUCAUCUGAAUCACAAGGUGCUACAAGAGCAGGCCAGCAUGCUGAUAAGAGCUCUGCACCUGACACCUCGAAACUCUGGGAGGAAUUCAAAGAGUCGAUUUCGAGAGUAGCGCGAGAAGUUGGUCUGACAAAUUCGACGGGUUUUUAUGAGAGCCUGGAAAAAGAUGCCUCGAGGUUGACCAGACAGGCUAAUCAACAUCAUGAAGAGAUCCUAUCAAAGCUUUCGAAUGAGGUUGAGAACUCCAUUUCAGAUAAAGUCCGAGAACGAGGUUUGCCGAAUCCAUCACCGAGUGCGAGAGUGCGCCGGCAAGCUGGCCAACACUCUGCGUCUGAUACGACGACAGGACUGAGUUUCUCCCACCUUUGGCAAGAACUCGAAGAGUCUGUCUUAAGGGUAGCUCGAGAAGUUGGUCUGGACAAUUCAACGAGUCUCUGGGAGAAUUUAGGUAAGGCUGUUUCGAGAGUGUCAAGACAAACUGACCGCCAGUAUGAAGAACUCUGGAAUGAGUUUGAAAACUUUGUUUCGAAAGCAACCCGAGAAGCCAGCUCACCAAAUGUAGCACCAAAUCCGAGAGUGCGCAGGCAAGCCGACCACCAUUUGGCACCCGAAGCAAUUGCAGAGCCGAGUCUUUCUCAGAUCUGGAAGGAAAUUAAAGAGCCUACCUCAAGAGUAGCUCGUGAGGUAGGUCUAUCCGAUGAAACGAGUUUCUUGGAGGACUUGGGAAAGGCUGCCCUGAGAGUGACCAGACAUGCUGACCACCAGUAUGGUGAGAGUCUAUCAAAAUUAUGGGAUAAGAUUGAAGACUCAAUUUCAAAAGUAGCCCAGGAGGUUGAGCUAUCGGAUGCAUCGCCAAAUUGAGAGUGCGCCGGGAAGUUGAACAACACACUGUAUCUGAUACGACAGCAGAAUUGAGUCUCUCUCACCUUUUGACAGAAUUGGGAGAGGCUGUUUCGAGAGUGACUAGACAGACUGACCACGAAUAUGCAGAUAGCCUCUCUAAGCUUUGGGAUGAGCUUAAGAACUCUGUUUCAAGAGAAAUCCCCGAGGCAGAUUCAUCAGAUGCAUCUCCAAGGACAAGAGCGCGCCGACAAGUCGAUAAAAAUUCUGUGCAUGCCACGCCGGUGGAAUCAAGUUCCUCUCAAGUCUGGGAGGACUUUGAAGAGUCCAUUUCGAGAGAAGCCCGAGAAGUUGGUUCUUCAAAUUCAACGAAUGCCCGGGAGAACUCAGAGGAGGGUGCUACAAGAGUAAACAGACAAACUGCGAAUCAAUAUGUAGACGAUGUUUCUCAACUCUGGCAUCAGUUUGAAGAGUCUGUUUCGAGGAUAGUGCGAGAAGUCGGUUUGUUUGAUACAACAAAUAUCUCGGAAAACUUAGAAAAAGAUGCUCCUAGGGUGGCGCGAGAAGUCGCUGACCAUUCCUCAGAACCGAGUCUUCCUGAGCUCUGGCGUGAGUUUGGAGAGUCUGUUUCGCAGGUAACGAGCGAAAUCGGUUUGCGGAAUGUAUGGGAUAAUUUGAGCAAGGACACCCUGAGAGUUACCAGAAAGGCUGAUCCGAACUUAUCAGUGAUCGCAGAGGAACGGGAGAAGCUUUUUGAUCAAUCAAAGGAAAUAUCACAGGAAGGCACGCCGAUUGGAUCAGAUUCGGUGCGAGAGGGUCCAAGAAUCACGAGAGACAUCGCCUUCCGAAAGAAGAAGAGAAGGGACUCCCAAGAAGAAGCAGAGGAAAUAUCACAGGAGGACAUGCCGAUAUCGUCUGAAUCAGAGCGAAAAAGCUCAAGAGUCACAAGAGACACUGCCUUCCGAAAAAAGAAGAGAAGAGAUUCUCAAGAAGAGUUAGAAAUAUCAGGGGAAGGCACGCCGAUCUCGUCUGAUUCAGUGGAAAAAAUUUCAAGAGCCACUAGAGAUACCGCCUUCCGAAAGAAGAAGAGAAGGGAUUCUCAAGAAGAGGAAAGCGUCCCUCGGUUUGUCCGCGCGAUCAAUGGAACAGAGAGUGAUGGUUCAGGACAUGAAAAGUCGCGAAUCGCUCGGCAAACACCGGAGGGCCAACCGCACAGGCCUAGCGGUGCAAGGUGCAUACCAUGUCUCUUCGAUUGCUUGCUUAAUCCGGGUAAUCCUAGUAGCACUCCUAGACCGGCUGCCCCGGCUCCAAAUCCAAUUCUUGGCCUCUUCGUACAGCAGGCACCUUCAAGACCGCCCCCGCCACCACCGCCCGGAGGCGGUAAUUCCGCUGGCGGUCUCUUGAUGUUGAAGUGCUUCACCAAUUGUGUUAUCUGGGACUGUCUCGCUAGUGGAGUAGAGUAAAUGUCAAGAAAUGCAGUCUCUCUCAGGAAAAAAAUAUCACGUGUGGCCUAAAAGUAAGAUUGUUGGGACUUAAGGUACCUAAAGUGCAAGUUUCAAUACUGCGAUGAUUUUUUUAUUAACAAAAUUUGGCGUUAAAGAGGAGGGAUAGAAUGGAAAUUCUGAGCAUAAGGCUCUUUUGUUUGACGCAGUGUAUCUUAUGAACAGUGAUUAAACAAUAAUUGAUAUCCCUAAGUCCAUCUAUUAUCCCUAAAACGAUGUUGACAUGACAAUGUUGUUCAUAUGCUGUAUAUUGCUUAAUGCUUAUGACAUAAUCAUUGUAGAAUCAACACUGGAAUCGAUGAUCAUUCGAACUUCUUAUUCGUGGCUAUUUUAAUGUUACACCAUAAAUGGGGGGUGGCUAACAAGAAAUUUUGAACUACAUUCUUUUGGUAAGUAGUAUUUUUUUGUUAAAAGUGUCGCAAUCAAAGGGUUUGAGUUUCACGAUAACAGUUUUUAAACUUCUUAUUUUGUGGCAAAGAAUUUGGAAAGUUAGUAAAGAAGGAGAUGUAGGACUAUACGCGUUGUUUUCUUACAUGUAGGUGAAACUCUGCAAAAUUCAUGUAAAUGCUUGUGCGUUAUUUCUCUCUGCCUAUACAUGGAACUAUCAAAUUCUUGUACACAUGGUUGAUGGAAAUCUUCAUGAAUGACUACCUCCAUAAAUGCUGUGUAUCUAGAAAUUGCUUUUGCUCAGAGUGAAAUAUAAUGAAUUAAAUAUUAUUUCGCAACUUUGGGAGGUCAUUAAUCACAGAUUGAAAGUUGAAAGUUUGUGAACAGAGAUAUGCAAUUUAUUAACUGAGAAGUAACAUGCAUUUAAUUUAACUCGUGUCAAAAUUGUAAACUAGUGUGCACCUUUUGAAGUCACAAACGAGUAAACCACGCAAAAGCUUUAACACUAACCGUGCCGCAAUAUUAUCAUUACUAAGGGUUCUUGUUAUAAAAACUGCAAAUCUUAAUUUCAGAAAAAUAAAUAAUGUAUUAUAAAUCCGAAUUUUCAGUAUAGAAUUUUGAUUACAAUGUAAUUUAUCUUUCCUGUAAUGAAAUCACUGUCUCAAAAUGUGUUUCUUUUUUGAUAUCAGUAUUUUUUCUACAACUUGAUUAAUUUCAGUUACGUUUUACCUUUUUUUUGGACUAAUUUAGAACAUACUUUGGUUUGGAUGUAAAAAUUGGUUAUAAAAUAUCACAAAAAAUUGAGAGAUGAAUGAGUAUGCAUGCCUCGAGUUCGCGAAGUGUUUCACAAAAUUUUGUCUUCUCCUGCAUUAUUCUUUUUUGUCAACAUGCAACUGCUUUCUCAACAGGUAGUUCAGAAUAAUCGGUUUUAUACAACUGAUGGGUGCAUCAAUCAGCAAGUGACAAUAAAGUGAAAGAAAAUAUGUCAGUGGGACAUCACCCCAAUGCUGGCCUCCAUAUAUCUAGAAAAAGGGUCAAAUUUACAUUGAAAUUAAAGACGUGUAAAAGACACAUUGAAAGAACAAAAGGACAACAGAAAAAACUUAGCACAUGUGAGAUUUGCGUUAAAAUAAUUAAAUUAUUCAAAAUUAAGUCAGCGCCAACGUUAUUUUUGUAGAAAUGGAUACCUAUUUUCAACACCAUUACACACAUUAGACACGUAAAGUCUUCGUUGAAAUGAAUUUUAGUUCCCUCAUGUACAGUCCGAAAGGAUUUUUUCCAGUUUUACUGAUUCUCUUUUUCUAUUCUCUCCUAUUACUUAAAUGUCUGUAUCCUGUUUCUCCAAUUAAGGAGUGGAUAACAUAUAAUAACUGGUCAAGAGUUAUAACCAUCUAGAGAUUAACCGGCAGAAAUAAUAAACCUUAAGCUAUUGCAUCAUUUUAAAUGUAUUUUUUUGUAAUUUAAAAGGUUUAACACUUCUAGACGGUCGGAUAUUUGCCUGUCCCUCAAUUUUUUCGUAAUUACAUUUAUUUUUAAUACUAGGCGAAUUCUGAAGGCUUUUUAUAAAGGGAGAAAAAAACAUUGAUUUUAGUUGCAUUCUUUAAAAUGUUAAAACAAUUAAUCCAUAAUUCCGUUUUAAUCUGACUUACCAUGUCCUCAUGAGUGAUGUGGAUAUUAGUUUUGUAGGAGCCAACCCUAUUCAUAAUCAGUGGUAUAUUGAUGAGGAAUGCCCAAAAAUUCAGUCUACUGAACGGUGGGAAAAGGCUUUGCGUCAGAAACAAUGAAUCCAAUGCACCUGAAAACAUGAAAAAGAAAUUCGGCAUUUUUAGGGACUGAGCAAUGUUAAUAAUAAAUUCCUUUGAAUCUCGAAAAUCUUAGGUACGAUCGUUACUUAUUUUUAAUUACAGCUUCGAUGCCUUUUCAAGAAUGUUUGCAUUGAAUCCCAACGAUUAAGAAUUGUUAAAUUUGUUUUUAUCAAUUUCUUUGAAUAUUACCAAUGAGCGAUGGUUUUCCGGAUAGCAUAUUAACCCCGCUCGUAAAUAUGCUUACGGGUACUAGAAUACAUUAAUUACAAACAGUAAAUGAAAUAAAAAUCCCAAUCGAAAAUCAUUCUUCUCUUCAAUCUCAACCAAUGAUGAGACAAACAUUGUGGUGGAAAAAUAUCGUGCACGAUAUUUUAGUUUAUCGUGUGGUGACGUGUUCACCACCCGUCGUAUUUUCAAUUUCAAUGAAAAUAUAAUGAAAGGGAACAAAACACUAAAAAAUUGACUCUAAUUGAGAAAGGUGGCAACAUUUUGAUUUUCACAUGAUAUACGCCUAAAUGAACAAACUAAGUACGCAACGUCUUAAUUUCUAAAAUGCGGAAAUGAGUCUUAAUCAUAAAUUUAAUUUUUUUUUUAAAAUUUAUUUUCUUUAAAAUUAACAAUUUUUUUGGACAUUAAUUAUUGUUUAUAGAAGUAAGGCUGAAUUCUUGUGUAUCAAAUGAAUCUAUCAAACAACACACGCAGCAUGAAGUAAAAAACUUAACUCAUCAUGAAUUUUUCCCGCCACGUGUAUUUGCCCCAGGGUU